AAUACUCCCUGGUGACCGAUAGCGGACUAGUACCGUGAGGGAAAGGUGAAAAGUACCCCGGGAGGGGAGUGAAAUAGUACCUGAAACCGUGCGCUUACAAUCCGUCAGAGCCGAUGCACGAUUCAGUUCGUGGUGGGUGAUGGCGUGCCUUUUGAAGAAUGAGCCUGCGAGUUAGUGGCAUGUCGCGAGGUUAACCCGUGUGGGGUAGUCGUAGCGAAAGCGAGUCCGAAUAGGGCGCAUGUAGUGGCAUGUUCUAGACCCGAAGCGGAGUGAUCUACCCAUGGCCAGGGUGAAGCGAUGGUAAGACGUCGUGGAGGCCCGAACCCACUUAGGUUGAAAACUGAGGGGAUGAGUUGUGGGUAGGGGUGAAAGGCCAAUCAAACUCCGUGAUAGCUGGUUCUCCCCGAAAUGCAUUUAGGUGCAGCGUCGCGUGUUUCUCACCGGAGGUAGAGCUACUGGAUGGUCUAGGGGGCCCACAAGCUUACCGAAAUCAGCCAAACUCCGAAUGCCGGUGAGUGAGAGCGCGGCAGUGAGACUGCGGGGGAUAAGCUUCGUAGUCGAGAGGGAAACAGCCCAGAUCGCCGGCUAAGGCCCCUAAGCGUGUACUAAGUGGAAAAGGAUGUGGGAUCGCUGAGACAACCAGGAGGUUGGCUUAGAAGCAGCCACCCUUGAAAGAGUGCGUAAUAGCUCACUGGUCAAGUGGUUCUGCGCCGACAAUGUAGCGGGGCUCAAGUACACCGCCGAAGCCGCGGCACUCACACAACACCCAUUCGUUCCUGCGGGAACGUGUGCAGUGGUGUGGGUGGGUAGGGGAGCGUCGUGCAGCCGUGGAAGCGCCGGAGUGAUCCAGGUGUGGAGGCUGCGCGAGUGAGAAUGCAGGCAUGAGUAGCGAAAGACGAGUGAGAAACUCGUCCGCCGGAUGACCAAGGGUUCCUGGGCCAGGUUAAUCCGCCCAGGGUGAGUCGGGACCUAAGGCGAGGCCGACAGGCGUAGUCGAUGGACAACGGGUUGAUAUUCCCGUACCCGUGUAUCCGCGCCCAAUGGCGAAUCAGUUGUGCUAACCGUCCAAAAGUUUCCGCUGUUCCUUCGGGAACUGUGGGGAUGGCUGCACGGGACCCUGAUUGUAGUAGUCAAGCGAUGGGGUGACGCAGGAAGGUAGCUGGGCCAGGUGAUGGAAUACCUGGUGUAAGCCGGUAGGGCGAAUGGUAGGCAAAUCCGCCAUUCAUCAAGCCUGAGAGGUGAUGCGUACCCGUUGAGGGGAAUUCAGUGAUCCUAUGCUGCCGAGAAAAGCCUCUAGUGAGUUGGUACACGGCCCGUACCCCAAACCGCACAGGUGGUCAGGUAGAGAAUACCGAGGCGAUCGAGAGAACUGUGGUUAAGGAACUCGGCAAAAUGCCCCCGUAACUUCGGGAGAAGGGGGACCACGCCCGGUGACGGCCCUUGCGGUCCGAGCUGGGGGUGGUCGCAGAGACCAGAGAGAAGCGACUGUUUACUAAAAACACAGGUCCGUGCGAAGUCGUAAGACGAUGUAUACGGACUGACGCCUGCCCGGUGCUGGAAGGUUAAGAGGACCGGUUAGCGGAGCAAUCCGCGAAGCUGAGAAUUUAAGCCCCAGUAAACGGCGGUGGUAACUAUAACCAUCCUAAGGUAGCGAAAUUCCUUGUCGGGUAAGUUCCGACCUGCACGAAUGGCGUAACGACU
rnacentral:rRNA from 1 species